AUUACUUUUCCGUUUGGAACCUAUUCUUUCAGCAUAGGGACCAACCCAAACAAAGUAAACCCUUCUUCUGAACUCUUUCUUCGACCCCAGCUUUAGCGUUGUUUAGUUCUCUAUGGGGAGAUUAUCUUUUGGUACAGGAAGUAUUGUACACAUUCCUUGACCAUAUUUGAUACCACAUAUCCUCGGAGGAUUCCACAACUAAGGGGGAGAAUAUAUUUAGGGGGAGAAUAUAUGAAAGGGGGAAG
rnacentral:lncRNA from 1 species